AAAGAAGUCAUAGAUAAAAGUUAGAAUUUCACGUAUCUUCAAGAAGUUUCUGGCAAGGCAAUUCAAUCACGAAAGUUGGCCGUUGGAUGUAUCAGCGGUGAUGUCGGAAGUUCAACGGUGAUGUCGGAAGUUCAGCGGUGCUUUUGGUUGUUGCUGUAACCGGAGGAAAUAAAAAAAAUAAAAAUCGUGAAUGUUCGUAGGAUCGUUG
rnacentral:lncRNA from 1 species